rnacentral:rRNA from 1 species
CCUACGGGUGGCAGCAGUGGGGGAUAUUGCACAAUGGGGGAAACCCUGAUGCAGCGACGCCGCGUGGGUGAAGAAGCGCCUCGGCGCGUAAAGCCCUGUCAGCAGGGAAGAAAAUGACGGUACCUGAAGAAGAAGCCCCGGCUAACUACGGGCCAGCAGCCGCGGGAAUACGUAGGGGGCAAGCAUUAUCCGGAUUUACUGGGUGUAAAGGGGGCGCAGGCGGCGAUGCAAGCCAGGAGUGAAAGCCACGGGCCCAACCCCGGGACUGCUCUUGGAACUGCGUGGCUAGAGUGCAGGAGGGGCAGGCGGAAUUCCUGGUGUAGCGGUGAAAUGCGUAGAUAUCAGGAGGAACACCGGUGGCGAAGGCGGCCUGCUGGACUGCAACUGACGUUGAGGCCCGAAAGCGUGGGGAGCAAACAGGAUUAGAUACCCGAGUAGUC